AUGUCUGGGAGUGGCACACUGCUCAGUAACACGUAGCUAACCUACCCUUAGGACGUGGAUACCCCCGAGAAAUUGGGGUUAAUCCGCGAUAGAUGUAAUGUCCUGGAAUGGUAUUACGUCUAAAGGUAUUUCAUACAUGUUUGAAAUAUGCCUAAGGAUGGGGCUGCGGCCGAUCAGGCUGUUGGUGAGGUAAUGGCUCACCAAACCUUUGACCGGUACGGGCCAUGAGAGUGGUAGCCCGGAGAUGGACACUGAGACAAGGGUCCAGGCCCUACGGGGCGCAGCAGGCGCGAAACCUCCUCAAUGCACUCACGUGCGAUGGGGCUAUCUCGAGUGCCACCUGAUGAAGGUGGCUUUUCCUUGGUCUUCAAAGCCUUGGGAAUAAGAGGGGGGCAAGACUGGUGUCAGCCGCCGCGGUAACACCAGCCCCUCGAGUGGUGGGGAUGAUUAUUUGGCCUAAAGCGUCCGUAGCCGGCCGGGUAAGUUUCCCGUUAAAUCCAGCGUCUCAAGCGUUGGACUGCGGGAAAUACUGCCUGGCUAGAGAGUGGGAGAGGUCAGCGGUAUUCUGGGGGUAGGGGCGAAAUCCUUUGAUCCCCGGAGGACCACCAGUGGCGAAGGCUGCUGACUAGAACACGUCUGACGGUCAGGGACGAAAGCUGGGGUAGCGAGCCGGAUUAGAUACCCGGGUAGUCCCAGCCGUAAACGAUGCAUGCUAGGUGUUGGGUUGGCCACGAGCCACCCCAGUGCCGCAGGGAAGCCGUUAAGCAUGCCGCCUGGGAAGUACGAUCGCAAGAUUGAAACUUAAAGGAAUUGGCGGGGGAGCACCACCAGGCGUGAAGCCUGCGGUUUAAUUGGAUUCAACGCCGGA
rnacentral:rRNA from 1 species